rnacentral:rRNA from 1 species
AACGAACGCUGGCGGCAGGCCUAACACAUGCAAGUCGAGCGGUAGAGAGAAGCUUGCUUCUCUUGAGAGCGGCGGACGGGUGAGUAAUGCCUAGCAACCUGCCUGAUAGUGGGGGCUAAAGUCCGGAAACGGACGCUAAUACAGUAUGAGACCUACGGGAGAAAGCGGGGGAUCUUCGGACCUCACGCUAGCAGAUGAGCCCAGGUCAGAUUAGCUAGUUGGUGGAGUAACGGCUUAACAAGGCGACGAUCCGUAACUGGUCUGAGAGGAAGAUCAGUCACACUGGGACUGAGGCAAGGUCCAGACUGCUACGGGAGGCAGCAGUGGGGAAUAUGGGACAAUGGGCGAAAGCCUGAUCCAGCCAUGGCGCGUGUGUGAAGAAGGUCUUCGGAUUGUAAAGCACUUUAAGUUGGGAAGAAGGGUCGUUACCUAAUACGUGGCGAUUUUGACGUUACCGACAGAAUAAGCACCGGCGAACUCUGUGCCAGCCGCCGCCGUAAAAC